CCUACGGGAGGCAGCAGUGAGGAAUAUUGGUCAAUGGGCGUAAGCCUGAACCAGCCAAGUCGCGUGAGGGACGACGGCCCUACGGGUUGUACACCUCUUUUGCCGGGGGACAAACGGCGGCACGCGUGCCGUCCUGAGGGUACCCGGAGAAAAAGCCUCGGCUAACUCCGUGCCAGCAGCCGCGGUAAUACGGAGGAUUCGAGCGUUAUCCGGAUUUAUUGGGGUUAAAGGGUGCGUAGGCGGGAUGCCAAGUCAGCGGUCAAAUACGGGGGCUCAACCUGCGUCCGCCGUUGAACCUGGCGUUCUUGAGUGGGCGAGAAGUACGGGGAAUGCGUGGUGUAGCGGUGAAAUGCUUAGAUAUCACGAAGAACUCCGAUUGCGAAGGCAGCUCACUGGACUGCAACUGACACUGAGGCUCGAAAGUGUGGGUAUCAAACAGGAUUAGAUACCCUGGUAGUC
rnacentral:rRNA from 1 species